ACUUCCGUUAAUUGAUUAUGAGGUGCUUGCCUGAUAUUUUAAGUGAGUGGCGGACGGGUGAGUAACACGUGGGUAACCUGCCCAGAAGCAGGGGAUAACACCUGAAACAGAUGCUAAUACCGUAUAACAGAGAAAACCGCCUGGUUUUCUUUUAAAAGAUGGCUCUGCUAUCACUUCUGGAUGGACCCGCGGCGCAUUAGCUAGUUGGUGAGGUAACGGCUCACCAAGGCGAUGAUGCGUAGCCGACCUGAGAGGGUAAUCGGGCCACAUUGGGACUGAGACACGGCCCGAUCCUACGGGAGGCAGCAGUAGGGAAUCUUCCACAAUGGACGCAAGUCUGAUGGGCACGCCGCGUGAGUGAAGAAAGGGUUUCGGCUCGUAAAGCUCUGUUGUUAAAGAAGAAACGUGGGUGAGAGUAACUGUUCACCCAGUGACGGUAUUUAACCAGAAAGCCACGGCUAACUACGUGCCAGCAGCCGCGGUAAUACGUAGGUGGCAAGCGUUAUCCGGAUUUAUUGGGCGUAAAGCGAGCGCAGGCGGUCUUUUAAGUCUAAUGUGAAAGCCUUCGGCUCAACCGAAGAAGUGCAUUGGAAACUGGGAGACUUGAGUGCAGAAGAGGACAGUGGAACUCCAUGUGUAGCGGUGAAAUGCGUAGAUAUAUGGAAGAACACCAGUGGCGAAGGCGGCUGUCUGGUCUGUAACUGACGCUGAGGCUCGAAAGCAUGGGUAGCGAACAGGAUUAGAUACCCUGGUAGUCCAUGCCGUAAACGAUGAUUACUAAGUGUUGGAGGGUUUCCGCCCUUCAGUGCUGCAGCUAACGCAUUAAGUAAUCCGCCUGGGGAGUACGACCGCAAGGUUGAAACUCAAAAGAAUUGACGGGGGCCCGCACAAGCGGUGGAGCAUGUGGUUUAAUUCGAAGCUACGCGAAGAACCUUACCAGGUCUUGACAUCUUCUGCCAACCUAAGAGAUUAGGCGUUCCCUUCGGGGACAGAAUGACAGGUGGUGCAUGGUUGUCGUCAGCUCGUGUCGUGAGAUGUUGGGUUAAGUCCCGCAACGAGCGCAACCCUUAUUACUAGUUGCCAGCAUCAGUUGGGCACUCUAGUGAGACUGCCGGUGACAAACCGGAGGAAGGUGGGGACGACGUCAAAUCAUCAUGCCCCUUAUGACCUGGGCUACACACGUGCUACAAUGGAUGGUACAACGAGUCGCGAAACCGCGAGGUUUAGCUAAUCUCUUAAAACCAUUCUCAGUUCGGACUGUAGGCUGCAACUCGCCUACACGAAGUCGGAAUCGCUAGUAAUCGCGGAUCAGCAUGCCGCGGUGAAUACGUUCCCGGGCCUUGUACACACCGCCCGUCACACCAUGAGAGUUUGUAACACCCAAAGCCGGGGGGUA
rnacentral:rRNA from 2 species